rnacentral:rRNA from 1 species
GACGAACGCUGGCGGCGUGCUUAACACAUGCAAGUCGAACGGAAAGGCCCUGCUUUUGUGGGGUGCUCGAGUGGCGAACGGGUGAGUAACACGUGAGUAACCUGCCCUUGACUUUGGGAUAACUUCAGGAAACUGGGGCUAAUACCGGAUAGGAGCUCCUGCUGCAUGGUGGGGGUUGGAAAGUUUCGGCGGUUGGGGAUGGACUCGCGGCUUAUCGGCUUGUUGGUGGGGUAGUGGCUUACCAAGGCUUUGACGGGUAGCCGGCCUGAGAGGGUGACCGGCCACAUUGGUACUGAGAUAGGGCCCAGACUCCUACGGGAGGCAGCAGUGGGGAAUAUUGCACAAUGGGCGGAAGCCUGAUGCAGCAACGCCGCGUGCGGGAUGACGGCCUUCGGGUUGUAAACCGCUUUCGCCUGUGACGAAGCGUGAGUGACGGUAAUGGGUAAAGAAGCACCGGCUAACUACGUG